GGUGACACCAGUUUGGGGUCGGUGACACUGGGAUUUGGGAUGGGUGGCACUGGUUUGGGAUGGGUGACACCAGUUUGGGGUCGGUGACACUGGGAUUUGGGAUGGGUGGCACUGGUUUGGGAUGGGUGACACCAGUUUGGGGUCGGUGACACUGGGAUUUGGGAUGGGUGGCACUGGUUUGGGAUGGGUGACACCAGUUUGGGGUCGGUGACACUGGGAUUUGGGAUGGGUGGCACUGGUUUGGGAUGGGUGACACCAGUUUGGGGUCGGUGACACUGGGAUUUGGGAUGGGUGGCACUGGUUUGGGAUGGGUGACACCAGUUUGGGGUCGGUGACACUGGGAUUUGGGAUGGGUGGCACUGGUUUGGGAUGGGUGACACCAGUUUGGGGUCGGUGACACUGGGAUUUGGGAUGGGUGGCACUGGUUUGGGAUGGGUGACACCAGUUUGGGGUCAGUGACACUGGGAUUUGGGGUGGGUGACUCUAGUUCAGGAUGGGUGACACUGGGAUUUUGGAUCAAUGACACCAGUUUGGGAUGAUUGGGAUGGGUGAUGCCAGUUUGGGAUGGGUGACACCCGAAUGUGGAAUCAGUGACACCAGUUUGGGAUGGGUGCCACCAGUUUGGGAUGGGUGCCACUCCAGCAGCCCAUCCCCACCCUGGGAUCCCCCCAAUUUCUGUCCUUUCCCGGUCAGAUGAGAACGGACCUGGAGCUGGCGCUGGAGUGCGCCGUUAACGUUUACCACCGCUACGCGCUGCAGCGGCCGCUGGACGAUUUCCUGAGCCGCAGCGAGUUCUCCAAACUGCUCAAGGAGGAGGCCGAGCCCUUCCUGAGGAACACGGCGCCGCCCAACACCAGCACCGACACCUACAUCAACCAACUCUUCACCAAAGCCGACGCCAACCGCGACGGGCGCCUCAAGUUCACCGAGUUCCUGAGCACGCUGAGCCUGGUGGCCAUCGAUGCCCACAACCGGUCCCACCAGGGGUCUGGGGGUGACCACGGCCAUGACCAUGACCACGGCCACGGCCACGGCCACCGCCGGGGGGGGGGGGGGGGGGGGGGGGGGGGGGGGGGGGGGGGACCGCCACUGAGGCGGGAACGUCCCCGCGGUGCCAGCCCUCGCCUGCACCCGAAUUUUGUCACCUGCUUCUACUUUCGUGGCACUGAAAUGAAUAAAAUUACUCCGAGCACCAAAAUCCGUCUGCGUUCCGUGUGCUGGGGGGUCAUGGGAGGGGGUGAUUAGACACGGAUUGAUUAUUU
rnacentral:lncRNA from 1 species